rnacentral:rRNA from 1 species
AUACGGAGGAUCCAAGCGUUAUCCGGAAUCAUUGGGUUUAAAGGGUCCGUAGGCGGGUUUGUAAGUCAGUGGUGAAAGUUUUCGGCUCAACCGGAAAAUUGCCAUUGAUACUGCAAGUCUUGAAUCAUUAUGAAGUGGUUAGAGUGUGUAGUGUAGCGGUGAAAUGCAUAGAUAUUACACAGAAUACCGAUUGCGAAGGCAGAUCACUAAUAAUGUAUUGACGCUAAGGGACGAAAGCGUGGGGAGCAAACAGGAUUAGAAACCCAGUAGUCC